rnacentral:rRNA from 1 species
GUGACCUCAAAUCAGGUAGGACUACCCGCUGAACUUAAGCAUAUCAAUAAGCGGAGGAAAAGAAACUAACAAGGAUUCCCCUAGUAACUGCGAGUGAAGCGGGAAAAGCUCAAAUUUAAAAUCUGGCGGUCUUUUGGCUGUCCGAGUUGUAAUCUAGAGAAGUGUUAUCCGCGCUGGACCGUGUACAAGUCUCCUGGAAUGGAGCAUCAUAGAGGGUGAGAAUCCCGUCUUUGACAUGGACUGCCAGGGCUUUGUGAUGCGCUCUCAAAGAGUCGAGUUGUUUGGGAAUGCAGCUCAAAAUGGGUG